UACGGGGGGGGCAAGCGUUGUUCGGAAUUACUGGGCGUAAAGCGUGCGUAGGUGGUUUGUUAAGUCUGAUGUGAAAGCCCUGGGCUCAACCUGGUAACUGCAUUGGAAACUGGCUGACUAGAGUGCGGUAGAGGGGUGUGGAAUUCCCGGUGUAGCAGUGAAAUGCGUAGAUAUCGGGAGGAACACCAGUGGCGAAGGCGACACCCUGGACCAGCACUGACACUGAGGCACGAAAGCGUGGGGAGCAAACAGG
rnacentral:rRNA from 1 species